CUCAUUUGGGUGGCAGAGCGGAGCUGAGCGGCUCUGGCACAGCUGCCUAAAGGGCCUUCCUGAGGCCCACCCCAGAAGCACUCAGAGGGGGAAGUAUCCCCCUCUCCCCUGCCUGUGGACCCUGGACAUUGGAGAUUGUAAGGAAAAACAACCAGGAAGGGGAAGAGAAGGGCUCAAGCUAAGCCAUGUCUGAGCAAGGCAUUAAGAGGCAGUGCCGGAACAGGAAAAGGCCUGGGAACCAGAGAUCAAAAGAACUGUAGCAGGUUUAAAAAGGAACACUUUCUCUUCAUGGAUAGAUGGGGGCUGAGACAAAGGCACCUGCUGGGUGGCUGAAGAAGUUAGGCCUCCCUAGGCUGCCAUCAGCAGCUAGUAAACCUUCAGGUGGAACUUUGCAGGAGCAUGUGUAAGCAACUAGGUGCCAAGGAAGUCUGAGGCACUGGUUUCCAGGACUAAAGAGGCUGGACUGCAGAAUGAUGACACAGAAGGGUUCAGACAAGAGGUUCGAGCCUGGGAGUGCACCCUAGAGUCCCAGAGCUAGCAACAGUGAUUAGAUUCUACCUGGAUCCAGUUGGCUUAAAAGCAAUUGGGUCCACUCAUAACAGACUGGUGUCUAUUCAGAGGAGCACUGGAUCAGGUUGUAGCAAAGGAUCAUCUGUGUCUGUCUAGUGCAACUUUGUGAGCAAGUUGAAUGCAAAGAAAAUCUUCCCGUGCACCCUCCCCAUUCUCCAAAAAAGAGGGAGGCUGUCCUUUUUAGCCCAUUACUUGUCUAUGGUUGAUUGUCUGUCUGUCUCCAAAUCUAUAGCACUGUUUGAGAAAUGGUUUUGUGUAACUAACUCAGACACUUCUCCAGAUUAGCAAGGAUACUAAUUAAUAACACGUAAUUACAGCACAGUAAUAGCAAAAAGAGGUUUAUGAUUUAUUCUACUUUCCAACUUGCAACUAAAAGCCAAAGUACAACAUCCACUUCUCUUUACUGAUAGGUAUUCUAGAUUUUUUUUUUUUUUUUUUUGGGGGUCAGAAUCAAUGGCAUCUCAUGACAGCUCAAUAAGUUUUAUAUGCAGAUCAAGGCAAGUCAAGAUCCUCAGGCCUGGCUCAAACUGUCAGCCCCAAAUCUGGCCCAGUCUGUUGCUUCUCUAAUGAUUCAUCUAACAAAGGUGCAAUUUGGGUGAAGAGUGAUUUUUUGUAAUAUAGACACUUAUACACUAGGAACUGGACUGAGACCACCAAUUCAUGUAGGACAGACAUCAAUGGUGAUGGGAUAGGGGUAUAGAGGUGUGACACUGAGUCAGAACGGGUCAAGCAACCAGCAGGCUAACGUGACCCAGAUCAACCUUUAAAAACCAAUUAGAGAAGUAUUGAAAUGGUGAACAGGGCCAUUUCUUGUAGAUAGUUAUCAAAGCCAUGUUAGAUAGGCCCGAGUGCUUGAAAUGCAAGUUUGUAUUGCCACAAUGUAUAUUACCUGUUCUUCGUCCAAGGCAUACCUCCUGUGACCUGCCCCAGGAGGCUAUUGUAACCUGCCAGAGAGCUAUAAAAGAACUAUGGGACCUGAUCCUUUUUUUCAUCUCAGAACUGCUUAAGCUUGGUCAAGGGAAGCUUGAGUCGCAAGACAGGUCUCCAACUCCAGUCUGGAUUACCCUGCUAUUUCUCAUAGAAGAAUUUAAAAAGACUCUGCACAUGGACUGCCUAUUGGAUUAUAAUCUAUGGAACUGAUUCUGGAAAAACUUUCUACAAAUCAGCAGCUCACCAUCUCUACUAUGAAACUGACUCAAGAACUUUAUUAAUAUAUUUAUGCAUUUAUAAUCGUUUAACCACAGUGACUUUCUUUUUAAAUAAAUCUUAGUUUAGUU